rnacentral:rRNA from 1 species
UGGGGAAUAUUGCGCAAUGGGGGAAACCCUGACGCAGCAACGCCGCGUGAAGGAUGAAGGUUUUCGGAUCGUAAACUUCUUUGAUGAGGGACGAAGAAUGACGGUACCUCAAAAACAAGCCACGGCUAACUACGUGCCAGCAGCCGCGGUAAUACGUAGGUGGCGAGCGUUGUCCGGAAUUACUGGGUGUAAAGGGCGUGUAGGCGGGGAUACAAGUCAGAUGUGAAAUACCGUGGCUUAACCACGGGGCUGCAUCUGAAACUGUAUGUCUUGAGUGUCGGAGAGGAAAGUGGAAUUCCCAGUGUAGCGGUGAAAUGCGUAGAUAUUGGGAGGAACACCAGUGGCGAAGGCGACUUUCUGGACGAUAACUGACGCUGAGGCGCGAAAGCGUGGGGAGCAAAC